rnacentral:lncRNA from 1 species
UGCAGAUCUCUGUGCUGCGUGGAACAGGAGUUGCCUAAGUGGCACCGGGCUCAGCCAUGUGCUAAAAUCACAGCCUGAGCAGGCUCUCUGAGCUUUAUUGUCAACUUUACAUGAUAAAGAUAACAGCAGCUUCCUUGAAGACUGCUUUAAGAAUUGCAGAUUCAUCAUUAAGCUCUUCAACACAGCUACCUUUUAUGUUAUAUGUUCACCCUGAAACCAAUUACUGUACUACUUCCUGUCACCAUGUGAAGAAGGAUGUGUUUGCUUCACCUUCUGCCAUAAUUGUAAUUUUCCUGAGGCCUCCCCAACCUUGCAGAACUACUUCCUGUUCCUUGAUGCUCAAGAGAGGGAGAAAAAAAGACAAGAUAAGUCUAUAG